GAUGAACGCUGGCGGCGUGCCUAAUACAUGCAAGUCGAGCGAACAGACGAGGAGCUUGCUCCUCUGACGUUAGCGGCGGACGGGUGAGUAACACGUGGAUAACCUACCUAUAAGACUGGGAUAACCUCGGGAAACCGGCGCUAAUACCGGAUAAUAUAUUGAACCGCAUGGUUCAAUAGUAAAAGACGGUUUUGCGGUAACUAAUAGCUGCAUCUCCGCUGCAUUAGCUAGUUGUUAAGUAAACGGCUUACCAGGGCAACGAGGCGUAGCCGACGGCAUAGGGGGAUCGGCCACACUGGAACUGAGACACGGUCCAGACUCCUACGGGAGGCAGCAGUAGGGAAUCUUCCGCAAUGGGCGAAAGCCUGACGGAGCAACGCCGCGUGAGUGAUGAAGGUCUUCGGAUCGUAAAACUCUGUUAUUAGGGAAGAACAAAUGUGUAGGGAACUAUGCACGUCUUGACGGUACCUAAUCAGAAAGCCACGGCUAACUACGUG
rnacentral:rRNA from 1 species